AGCGCGAUCGCCCGCUUUCUCACCGAGCGAACGCUGCAGGCAGCGUGUAGCCCGUGAGCAUUCGUAUCGCCCGGCAUGUGUUUUUUUGCGCUCCCGCGUGGUUAUUUUAUCUGGCGAAAGGAUUAGGUUCACACACGUUCUGGCAGGAAUGAAGCCCGCAACCGUGCCGCAGUCGAUGGGAGCGCCAUUACAGGAGAUACAAAAUCAAGCGCGUGUUGUCCGGGGCUACUCGUGUCGUCGUGGACCGGACACCUCCAUGUCCAUAGAAUGGGCCCGAAGGCAACCUGCGCGAACUUCACAGGCGGAAUUUGUGGGUGGCCCCUCUUGACACCAGCACAAGAGCCUCUCUGCUAGGAGCAUCCACCCGCGUGUCCUGAACUGACAACAGUAAAACUAUUGUGGCAGAUAUAUACAUUGCGGGGACGCCGGCCGCAUGGCUGCGCCGCUAUGCCGCCACCAUCUCCAUCUGGGCCUGGCUCAUGUACCCGUGCCACGCAUCGCCGGCAUGGGGCCGGAGCGCGAGGAGCGCCGACCAGGAAGCUGGCAGUUGGUUUGGGGCUUCGGAAAGUAAAGGUUGUCUUUUGCAUGGCUCUUGCACCACCCUUUGACUUCUCGGAGAGCCUGA